rnacentral:rRNA from 1 species
UACGUAGGGCGCGAGCGUUGUCCGGAAUUAUUGGGCGUAAAGAGCUCGUAGGCGGCCUGUCGCGUCCGCUGUGAAAGCCCGGGCUUAACUCCGGGUCUGCAUUCGAUACGGGCAGGCUAGAGUGCGGUAGAGGGUAGUGGAAUUCCCGGUGUAGCGGUGAAAUGCGUAGAGAUCGGGAGGAACACCAGUGGCGAAGGCGGCUACCUGGACCAGCACUGACACUGAGGCACGAAAGCGUGGGGAGCAAACAGG